CCAGCUGACGAGUCCUAAAUAGGACGAAAUGCACAUCCUGGAU
rnacentral:hammerhead_ribozyme from 1 species